UUCACGCACAUAAAUAAUUGUUUCUAGUGGUUGUUUUCUAAAUGAAUUGUGUUGAGUCUUGAUGCAGCAUUUUAAGGCCCUCUUUGUUGGUGGUUGCAUCUUAUAUUUCCAAAUUAAAAAUUUGUUAAUAAGUGAGAAUCAUGAUAGCUCCUCAACAAUUCAAGAACCAUGAGCAGAUUAUCACAGUACCGGGGUUCACCGCACUGUUGACAGUUUGGGAAUGUUUGAGUUUGAACCUUGUCACCCUCAUAAUUGGUCCACACAAUAAGCUUUCAAGGGAAAUUCCUAUGUCUGCCACUGAUAAUUCCAUGUCUCCUUCGGAGAAACGGCCUAGAGGAUACCCACCUUGAAGUGGAAGGAAACAACAACUAGCUGCUCUAGGUGAAUGGAUGAACAGCUUUGCUGGCCAGGCCUUUUCACCACAUGUUAUCACCAUUGGAGUUGAGGAGGUAGUUAUACUCUUCCAUUUCAUACUUAAUUCAUCAUUA